rnacentral:rRNA from 1 species
AACGCGAAGAACCUUACCCGGACUUGACAUCCUUGGAACCUGCUAGAGAUAGCGGGGUGCUCGCAAGAGAGCCAAGAGACAGGUGCUGCAUGGCUGUCGUCAGCUCGUGUCGUGAGAUGUUGGGUUAAGUCCCGCAACGAGCGCAACCCUCGCCUUUAGUUGCCAUCAUUUAGUUGGGCACUCUAGAGGGACUGCCGAUGUUAAAUCGGAGGAAGGUGGGGAUGACGUCAAGUCCUCAUGGCCUUUAUGUCCGGGGCUACACACGUGCUACAAUGGUCGGUACAAAGGGUUGCUAACCCGCGAGGGGGAGCUAAUCCCAAAAAACCGGUCUCAGUUCGGAUCGUAGUCUGCAACUCGACUGCGUGAAGGAGGAAUCGCUAGUAAUCGCGGAUCAGCACGCCGCGGUGAAUACGUUCCCGGGCCUUGUACACACCGCACUACUA